UACGGAGGAUGCAAGCGUUAUCCGGAUUUAUUGGGCGUAAAGCGUCCGCAGGUUGUUAUGCAAGUCUUCUGUCAAAGCGUCUGGCUCAACCAGAUAAAGGCAGUGGAAACUACAUAGCUAGAGUAAGGUAGGGGUAGAGGGAAUUCCUGGUGUAGCGGUGAAAUGCGUAGAGAUCAGGAAGAACACCGGUGGCGAAAGCGCUCUGCUGGACCUUAACUGACACUGAGGGACGAAAGCUAGGGGAGCGAAUGGG
rnacentral:rRNA from 1 species